rnacentral:lncRNA from 1 species
AUAUAAUAUUUAUUAAUUUGUUUUCAAAUGAAAUACAUUAUGUAUAUUAAUAUGAAUUUCAUUGGACUAAACUUCCUUUGUUGCAGUUAAGAAUAAAUAAAUAGUCGAGCAAGAUACAAGGAAAACGAACAAUAUUAGAAUUUGUAAACAUUCUGUUCUAGAUUACCAACAAGAUUUUAUUAAUGCCUCGUAAUUCAAAAUCUGGCAGAUCAAAAUAAGAAAGGAAGCUAGAAAUUAAAUAGUAAGAAAUUUAUCAAUUCAAAAAAGAAUUGCAUGUAAUGGCCAUCUUCUUCUUCUUCUUCUUCUUCUUCUUCUUCUUGGACCAAAAAACAUUAUGCUAGCAUGAUAAGGGUCUCUCUUCUCAGACAAGGAUAGAUGGAGGAGGGUGCAAAUUUCCAAUGGGGUUGGGUCCUGAUGGGGACUUAUUAUGAACUGUUUUUUUGACCUGUCUUCCAGAUAUCUUGAAAUACAAAAAUAAAUAAAUUAGUGGUUAAGUUCAAAAUGAAAUCAUAAAUAAUGAUACAUGGUAAUUACCCUAGAAACAGAAAUAUAUCUGGUACUGGGAGAGCUUGGCUUGGGUUGUGCAUUUCUCAGCCUGGAAUCAACUACAAGAAGCAUAAAAACAAUGAGUUCCCUUGUAACUAUAAUACCAAUCAUGAUCGAAUUAAACUGGAAAAAAAAAAAAAAAGAAUAGACAACUAGAAGUGUAUGUAUAUAUAUAUAUAUAGUGGGUUGCCUGAUUCUGCAGGAUGAAGCAGUAACGCAGAAGAGCAAUGGCACUGAGAAGCAAUGAAGAGCGCAAGGAAUGAACAUGCUAAAAUCUGCUUUGGCUUCAUUUUCGGGCAUGGGAUUGUGUGAAUUAACAAACAACAUUUAUAAACAGAUUCUUUUGAGUAUUAAUAAUUGCUAAGUUUGAAUUCUAAGAGGGUGUCUUGGAAUCCUAUG